AUUGAACGCUGGCGGCAGGCUUAACACAUGCAAGUCGAGCGGGGGAAGGUAGCUUGCUACUGGACCUAGCGGCGGACGGGUGAGUAAUGCUUAGGAAUCUGCCUAUUAGUGGGGGACAACAUCUUGAAAGGGAUGCUAAUACCGCAUACGUCCUACGGGAGAAAGCAGGGGAUCUUCGGACCUUGCUCUAAUAGAUGAGCCUAAGUCGGAUUAGCAAGUGGGUGGGGUAAAGGCCUACAAAGGGGACGAUCGGUAGCGGGUCUGAGAGGAUGAGCCGCCAAACUGGGACUGAGACACGGCCCAGACUCCUACGGGAGGCAGCAGUGGGGAAUAUUGGACAAUGGGGGGAACCCUGAUCCAGCCAUGCCGCGUGUGUGAAGAAGGCCUUAUGGUUGUAAAGCACUUUAAGCGAGGAGGAGGCUACUUUAGUUAAUACCUAGAGAUAGUGGACGUUACUCGCAGAAUAAGCACCGGCUAACUCUGUGCCAGCAGCCGCCGUAA
rnacentral:rRNA from 1 species